rnacentral:rRNA from 1 species
AUUGAACGCUGGCGGCAGGCCUAACACAUGCAAGUCGAACGCGUGGCGGACGGGUGAGUAAUGUCUGGGAAACUGCCUGCUGGAGGGGGAUAACUCCUGGAAACGGUAGCUACUACAGCAUACCAUCGGAUGUUCCCAGAUGGGAUUAGCUAGGAGGUGGGGUAACGGCUCACAUAGGCGACGAUCCCUAGCUUGUCUGAGAGGAUGAACAGCCACACUGGAACUGAGACACGGUCCAGACUCCUACGGGAGGCAGCAGUGGGGAAUAUUGCACAAUGGGCGCAAGCCUGAUGCAGCCAUGCCGCGUGUAUGAAGAAGGCCUUCGGGUUGUAAAGUACUUUCAGCGGGGAGGCGUUACCCGCAGAAGAAGCACCGGCUAACUCCGUGCCAGCAGCCGCGGUAAUUC